rnacentral:rRNA from 1 species
UACGGGGGGGGGCAAGCGUUGUUCGGAAUUACUGGGCGUAAAGGGCUCGUAGGCGGCCAACUAAGUCAGACGUGAAAUCCCUCGGCUUAACCGGGGAACUGCGUCUGAUACUGGAUGGCUUGAGUUUGGGAGAGGGAUGCGGAAUUCCAGGUGUAGCGGUGAAAAUGCGUAGAUAUCUGGAGGAACACCGGUGGCGAAGGCGGCAUCCUGGACCAACACUGACGCUGAGUGAGCGAAAAGCCAGGGGGAGCAAACGGGG